UUAGUUAGUUGGUGAGGUAAUGGCUCACCAAGACGAUGAUACGUAGCCGACCUGAGAGGGUGAUCGGCCACAUUGGGACUGAGACACGGCCCAAACUCCUACGGGAGGCAGCAGUAGGGAAUCUUCCGCAAUGGACGAAAGUCUGACGGAGCAACGCCGCGUGAGUGAAGAAGGUUUUCGGAUCGUAAAACUCUGUUGUCAGAGAAGAACAAGUUGGAGAGUAACUGCUCCAGCCUUGACGGUAUCUGACCAGAAAGCCACGGCUAACUACGUGCCAGCAGCCGCGGUAAUACGUAGGUGGCAAGCGUUGUCCGGAUUUAUUGGGCGUAAAGCGAGCGCAGGCGGUUCCUUAAGUCUGAUGUGAAAGCCCACGGCUCAACCGUGGAAGGUCAUUGGAAACUGGGGAACUUGAGUGCAGAAGAGGAGAGUGGAAUUCCAUGUGUAGCGGUGAAAUGCGUAGAUAUAUGGAGGAACACCAGUGGCGAAGGCGACUCUCUGGUCUGUAACUGACGCUGAGGCUCGAAAGCGUGGGGAGCAAACAGGAUUAGAUACCCUGGUAGUCCACGCCGUAAACGAUGAGUGCUAAGUGUUGGAGGGUUUCCACCCUUCAGUGCUGCAGCUAACGCAUUAAGCACUCCGCCUGGGGAGUACGGCCGCAAGGCUGAACUCAAAGGAAUUGACGGGGACCCGCACAGCGGUGGGAGCAUGUGGUUUAAUUCGAAGCAACGCGAAGAACCUUACCAGGUCUUGACAUCCUUUGACAAUCCUAGAAGAUAGGACUUUCCCUCGGGGACAAAGUGACAG
rnacentral:rRNA from 1 species